GUCUUGGUGGCUCAGAUGGCAGAGCACUGGAGUGUCGAUCCAGGGGUCGUGAGUUCAAGUCUCACCCAAGACA